AACUCGCCUCUCUGCCUUUCCAGCUGGCCUGUGUCUCAACUGCUGGAGCCUGCAGGAGCUGGUCAGCAGGGACCCAGGCCACUUCCUCAUCCUCCUGGAGCAGAUACUGCAGAAAACCCGAGAGGUCCAAGAGAAGGGCACCUAUGACCUUCUCGCCCCCCUGGCCCUGCUCUUCUACUCCACUGUCCUCUGCACGCCACACUUCCCACCCGAUUCAGAUCUCCUUCUGAAAGCAUCCAGAACCUACCACCGGUUCCUGACCUGGCCUGUUCCCUACUGCAGCAUCUACCAGGAGCUGCUCACCUUCAUCGAUGCUGAACUCAAGGCCCCAGGUGAGUGUUGGUGCGGCAGG